rnacentral:rRNA from 1 species
AUGAACGCUAGCUACAGGCUUAACACAUGCAAGUCGAGGGGCAGCAUGGUCUUAGCUUGCUAAGGCUGAUGGCGACCGGCGCACGGGUGAGUAACACGUAUCCAACCUGCCGUCUACUCUUGGCCAGCCUUCUGAAAGGAAGAUUAAUCCAGGAUGGGAUCAUGAGUUCACAUGUCCGCAUGAUUAAAGGUAUUUUCCGGUAGACGAUGGGGAUGCGUUCCAUUAGAUAGUAGGCGGGGUAACGGCCCACCUAGUCAACGAUGGAUAGGGGUUCUGAGAGGAAGGUCCCCCACAUUGGAACUGAGACACGGUCCAAACUCCUACGGGAGGCAGCAGUGAGGAAUAUUGGUCAAUGGGCGAUGGCCUGAACCAGCCAAGUAGCGUGAAGGAUGACUGCCCUAUGGGUUGUAAACUUCUUUUAUAAAGGAAUAAAGUCGGGUAUGCAUACCCGUUUGCAUGUACUUUAUGAAUAAGGAUCGGCUAACUCCGUGCCAGCAGCCGCGGUAAUACGGAGGAUCCGAGCGUUAUCCGGAUUUAUUGGGUUUAAAGGGAGCGUAGAUGGAUGUUUAAGUCAGUUGUGAAAGUUUGCGGCUCAACCGUAAAAUUGCAGUUGAUACUGGAUGUCUUGAGUGCAGUUGAGGCAGGCGGAAUUCGUGGUGUAGCGGUGAAAUGCUUAGAUAUCACGAAGAACUCCGAUUGCGAAGGCAGCCUGCUAAGCUGCAACUGACAUUGAGGCUCGAAAGUGUGGGUAUCAAACAGGAUUAGAUACCCUGGUAGUCCACACGGUAAACGAUGAAUACUCGCUGUUUGCGAUAUACGGCAAGCGGCCAAGCGAAAGCGUUAAGUAUUCCACCUGGGGAGUACGCCGGCAACGGUGAAACUCAAAGGAAUUGACGGGGGCCCGCACAAGCGGAGGAACAUGUGGUUUAAUUCGAUGAUACGCGAGGAACCUUACCCGGGCUUGAAAGUUAGCGACGAUUCUUGAAAGAGGAUUUCCCUUCGGGGCGCGAAACUAGGUGCUGCAUGGUUGUCGUCAGCUCGUGCCGUGAGGUGUCGGCUUAAGUGCCAUAACGAGCGCAACCCUUGUUGUCAGUUACUAACAGGUGAUGCUGAGGACUCUGACAAGACUGCCAUCGUAAGAUGUGAGGAAGGUGGGGAUGACGUCAAAUCAGCACGGCCCUUACGUCCGGGGCUACACACGUGUUACAAUGGGGGGUACAGAGGGCCGCUACCACGCGAGUGGAUGCCAAUCCCUAAAACCCCUCUCAGUUCGGACUGGAGUCUGCAACCCGACUCCACGAAGCUGGAUUCGCUAGUAAUCGCGCAUCAGCCACGGCGCGGUGAAUACGUUCCCGGGCCUUGUACACACCGCCCGUCAAGCCAUGGGAGCCGGGGGUACCUGAAGUGCGUAACCGCGAGGAUCGCCCUAGGGUAAAACUGGUGACUGGGGCU